CCUUAGUCUGCAGACCACAACUGAAGCCAAGCACACCUUUCUGAACAUCAGCUAGUUUCAUCAGAUCGUUAGAGCUGAAAGAUGUCCUCUGCCUCUUCAGGAGCCCAGCGACCUAUGGCUCUAGCGCUCUCCAGGGCUCAGCUCUCCAGGAAAACCACAAGUCACUUACAGUGUCUGCUCAGGGCAGGCUGUCCUUCCCCAGCCUGUCAGAGUCGCAGUUAGACCAGAGCUAGCUUGAACAAUUGACAUUCAAAGGAAUUGCCCAGAGGGACUUGACAAUCAGUAAUCAUUCCCUUUCUGACCAGCAGGCUGACUUCUGUCCUUGGUUGAGACUAGUUUAGGCCUUUAUGUAACAUGACUUCACAUUCCUGAACAGCGCACACAUUCCUUAACAUCCUCAUGUUCUGUGAAGUCACCUUGUUAAUGUAAAAACAUUCAAACCUG